rnacentral:rRNA from 1 species
CACAAAGCUACUUGCAUCAAGCCAGCGUCACUUCUGACCCUUGCUGCUGUAUAUGGCGUCGUCUGAUCGGAGAUAACCUUUUGAUCAAUACCAUUGAUGUAAUAUUAUUAUUGGCCUCAAAUUAGACAUUACGCCCCAUAAAAUGAUCCACCAUAUGAUUAACCAAAACAUUCAUCCCGCGUUACUGAGGCCAUACUGAAGCAUUGUCCCAUGUGUAUACCACUGAUUACCACGUUAUUUUUAAAGACGGUACAGUCUUACGGUCAGGUUACAGUUUCGGGUCGUAAAACUCUGUUGUUAGGGAAGAACAAGUGCUAGUUGAAUAAGCUGGCACCUUGACGGUACCUAACCAGAAAGCCACGGCUAACUACGUGCCAGCAGCCGCGGUAAUACGUAGGUGGCAAGCGUUAUCCGGAAUUAUUGGGCGUAAAGCGCGCGCAGGUGGUUUCUUAAGUCUGAUGUGAAAGCCCACGGCUCAACCGCGGAGGGUCAUUGGAAACUGGGAGACUUGAGUGCAGAAGAGGAAAGUGGAAUUCCAUGUGUAGCGGUGAAAUGCGUAGAGAUAUGGAGGAACACCAGUGGCGAAGGCGACUUUUCUGGUCUGUAACUGACACUGAGGCGCGAAAGCGUGGGGAGCAAACAGGAUUAGAUACCCUGGUAGUCCACGCGUAAACGAUGAGUGCUAAGUGUUAGAGGGGUUUCCGCCCGUUUGGUGUUGAAGUAACGCAUUUAGUACUCCACCGGGAGAGU